rnacentral:rRNA from 1 species
AGCAGAAAAUUAAAAUUUUACCAACAAACCUUAAAGAAAAUUUUCACUAUAUAAAGUAUUUUUUAAAAAAUUCCUAAAUUAACCAACCGCAAGGAACAACAUUCAGCUUUCUCAAGAAAUGAUAACCUCAUGUCCCUCUUGCAUCAUGGAGAAGCAACAAGACUAUAAUAACUUAUAUUCCCGAAUGAUUAUGAGCUACUAAACCCUAAAAAUCAAUGUUUCAUAAUUGAUAUAGUAACUUUUAGUAGAAGUAACAAGCCUUUCAUAUAAUCAUAUAGCUGGUUUUUCUUCAAAAGCAUCAAAGUGCUGGCUUAUAGAAUAAGCCCAGAGCCUCUAACCUAUAAAGCUUAACCUAUUGAGGACUAGCUCAAUAGGGCAUAAAAAAUAUUUUAUCCCUAAUCCCCACAAGUAGGCUUAAAAGCAGCCACCUAAUAACGUUUUAGUUAUUGAGAAUUUAUAUUAAGUAUUAAUACAACACAAUUUUAAAACUAAAGAAAUUUAACAAAAAAUUUUUCUGUUACUAAACAGGCAUUCUAUUAGUAUUUAAUAUAAGUCUAUUACUCAACAUUCCUCAAAAAAUUUGAAUCAAAACACCACUUAUUACUUUAAGCACACAAAGCGAACUCGGCAAAUUAGUUCCCUGCCUGUUUACCAAAAACAUCGUCUUUUGAUAACACCCCCAUAAAAGAUAAUGCCUGCCCAGUGAAAUUUUAAACGGCCGCGUUAGCGUGAGCGUGCUAAGGUAGCGUAAUAAUUAGCCUUUUAAUUGGAGGCCAGUGAAUGGCAAGACUAGGAACACCUUUACUUUGUGUGUAAAAAAAACUUUUCGUCUAAGUGAAAAGACUUAGAUAAUAAAGGUAGACGAAAAGACCCCGCGGAACUUUACCUUUUCCUGUACUACAGUAUAUUUACUUAAAAGUAUUUAAGGUUUGAUUGGGGCAAUCUUGGAACCAACAAAGCUUCCAAUUUUUUAAAAAAACCCAUUUAAAAUUUAUUAUGGACCAAAAAGAAGUUACCCCGGGGAUAACAGCGUAAUCCAACUAAAGAGUACAUAUCGAAAGUUGGGUUUGCGACCUCGAUGUUGGCUUAAGGAUAUCCACAUUAGUGCAACCGCUAUGACAGGACAGUCUGUUCGACUAUUAUACCCUUACACGAGCUGAGUUAAGACCGGCGCAAGCUAGGUUGGUUUCUAUCUCCUUUAUAAAAACUCUUCUUGAUUGUACGAAAGGACCCCAAGAGGUGCACCCCAAAAAAGCACUUUUUAAAAAUAUUUACCUAA